AUUGAACGCUGGCGGAAUGCUUUACACAUGCAAGUCGAGCGGCAGCGCGGGGCAACCUGGCGGCGAGCGGCGAACGGGUGAGUAACACAUCGGAACGUGCCCAGACGUGGGGGAUAGCCCGGCGAAAGCCGGAUUAAUACCGCAUACGAUCUAAGGAUGAAAGCGGGGGACUCGCAAGGGCCUCGCGCGUUUGGAGCGGCCGAUGGCAGAUUAGGUAGUUGGUGGGGUAAAGGCUUACCAAGCCUGCGAUCUGUAGCUGGUCUGAGAGAAUGAUCAGCCACACUGGGACUGAGACACGGCCCAGACUCCUACGGGAGGCAGCAGUGGGGAAUUUUGGACAAUGGGCGCAAGCCUGAUCCAGCCAUUCCGCGUGCAGGACGAAGGCCUUCGGUUGUAAACUGCUUUGUUACGGAACGAAAGGUACGUUCUCUAAUACAGAGGGCCCGACUGACGGUACCGUAACGAAUAAAGCAACCGGCUAACUACGUGCCAGCAGCCGCGGUAAACCG
rnacentral:rRNA from 1 species